UGCCAGCCGCCGCGGUAACACGGGGGGCGCAAGCGUUAUUCGGAUUUAUUGGGCGUAAAGGGUCCGUAGGGGGUUUGUUAAGUCUGAUGUGAAAGCCCGCAGCUCAACUGCGGAACUGCAUUGGAAACUGAUGAACUAGAGCAUAGGAGAGGUGAGUGGAAUUCCUGGUGUAGCGGUGGAAUGCGUAGAUAUCAGGAGGAACACCGAAGGCGAAGGCAGCUCACUGGAAUAAUGCUGACCCUGAGGGACGAAAGCUAGGGGAGUGAACAGGAUUAGAUA
rnacentral:rRNA from 1 species